rnacentral:rRNA from 1 species
AUGAUUGCUACUGAGGAUGGUGGGUAUGAAUCCACUAGUGACUAUGAUGAGGAGACUUUGGGUCUUAUUACACGUGAAGAACACGGUGGAGAUGAUUUUGAUCAUGAGACGCAAUACAUGGCUCCUGAAGACGCUGACAGGUAUGAAUGUAUAGUUGCUCAACGUGUUUUGAGUGUGCAGGUCACAUGGGCUGAGCAAAAUCAAAGGCAUAAUUUAUUCCAUACUAAGGGAGUUGUGAAGGAACGUUCUGUGCGCGUCAUCAUAGAUGGAGGGAGCUGCAACAACUUGGCUAGCAUGGAGAUGGUGGAGAAGCUAUCUCUCACCACAAGACCACAUCCACAUCCUUACUACACCCAAUGGUUUAACAACAGCAGCAAGGUUAAGGUAACACGUACUGUUCGUGUGCAUUUUAGUCUCUCUACAUAUGUUGAUUAUGUUGAUUGUGAUGUGGUACCUAUGCAAGCAUGUUCUUUAUUACUUGGUUGA